AUUUCAGUCCUUCAUGCUGCUUCCAACACUCUUGCUAACAGUUGGUUUUAACUUCUAGGCAAAAUUUGCAUUGUCUGUAGCUCAAUGGAAUUAUAUACAGAGCAUAUGAAUAAGUCAUGAAGAGAUUUCCACCAGCAAAGGUUGAAGUGGAAAGAGAGCAGAGAAGAGUCCUUCACAGAUGAACACAAGACCAGGAACGAAAUUCUCAGAAUUUGGAUACACGUAUGAAAAAAAAUAAGAAAGGAAAAAACGUGCAGAAGAUAGAAUGGGAGGAAAGAGAACUCAGAUCUUUGGGUGACUGAAAUAUGUAACCACCAACUUUUGCAUUUUAAAACUCAAGCCAAGGUUU
rnacentral:lncRNA from 12 species